rnacentral:misc_RNA from 1 species
GUGCAUCGAACUGCCGACUCCCCACCCGCUUCAGUCUUUACCCAAGGGAACUCCUUCCUUGUGGGUGCGAUGGUAUCCUGUGUUGCUUACCCAUGAAAUGGAAUUCGAUGGCUUUGUUGUGUUGAUCUGUCGUGUGCCUUUUGGGGUGCGGGGCGGACUUGAGGCGGGCUCUGUAUUCCCGGUGUGCCUAGCGUGUUAUCGCUUGGUCAUUGCGGCCUAUGGAGUCUCGCUUGUUCUCUCGGAUGCGGAAUGCUACGCAUGGGCGUGAGGUCUAGGCCUCGAUUCGUCCAAGCACUGUCCCUUGACUUGAAUGACUGCUGCGCCUGUCUUGAUCUUCCCGACCAAGGCCUCGUAAUGGGGCUUACUGGACGAGGGUUGCUCAUGCAGGCGUUGGCGUCAAAGAGGAAUGC